rnacentral:rRNA from 1 species
UAGGGAAUCUUCCACAAUGGACGAAAGUCUGAUGGAGCAACGCCGCGUGAGUGAUGAAGGGUUUCGGCUCGUAAAACUCUGUUGUUGGAGAAGAACGGGUGUCAGAGUAACUGUUGACAUCGUGACGGUAUCCAACCAGAAAGCCACGGCUAACUACGUGCCAGCAGCCGCGGUAAUACGUAGGUGGCAAGCGUUGUCCGGAUUUAUUGGGCGUAAAGCGAGCGCAGGCGGUUUUUUAGGUCUGAUGUGAAAGCCUUCGGCUUAACCGGAGAAGUGCAUCGGAAACCGGGAGACUUGAGUGCAGAAGAGGACAGUGGAACUCCAUGUGUAGCGGUGAAAUGCGUAGAUAUAUGGAAGAACACCAGUGGCGAAGGCGGCUGUCUGGUCUGCAAACUGACGCUGAGGCUCGAAAGCAUGGGUAGCGAACAGGAUUAGAUACCCUGGUAGUCCAUGCCGUAAACGAUGAGUGCUAAGUGUUGGAGGGUUUCCGCCCUUCAGUGCUGCAGCUAACGCAUUAAGCACUCCGCCUGGGGGAGUACGACCGC